GCAGUCUCCAGAGGGUCCUGAGGGCAAGGAAGCCUCCAAAGUCACAAAACAAUUGGCCACCAGAAGGUCUGAGAGAUGUCAGUGAGGCCUGCUCCACCCAAGGCUGAGGCUAAGCCUAAGAAGGCCAUCGUCAAGAAGGUGGCAGAUGAUAAGGGAGCAAAGGUAAAGAAAGGCGGCACCAAGGCCAAGAAGGACGACGGCCCAGCCAGAAUGGAGAGUCCCAAGACGAAUGAGGUAACUGAGGCAGCUGAGGAGGCGACUGAGGAGAAGGCGUAAAGACAGGAGCGUGUCCACCGACUCGCCCCCCUCUGACUCCAUGGCAGCAAAGCAUCUUUUUUUACUGACGAUUUUUGUACCAUGCUGAAUUUUUUUUAGACUUGUGAUAGUAGAGAUGGACAACCAGCAGCCCCUUCCACCAUAUGUACACUCUCCUUUCAGAAAACUCUACCUACACUAUGUUUUGCUCCAUUCUCCUCCUUCCCCCAUUGGACACAGUUAUAAAACUUUUAGACACUCAAAGAUGGAAUUAUUGUUUUUAUCAGGUGGCUGCAGAUGUUCUUCAUUUUGCCUGUGGGGGGUCGUAAACACGACUGUUAUGACCUUUUAGCCAGCUUGCCUGAAUUUGUUGUCACUACAAAUAAUAACAUUAACUAUUGGCAUGCUGGCUAGCUCCCCCUGAUAUUUAAUGUGAAGAUCUUUGGAUGUGUAACAGAAAGUUUGAGAUUGAACUUUGAACCGAGAUUCAUAAUCUGAGAACAUCUGCAGCUUUUAAAAAGAUAUCAUAGUUUAUAGAUUUACCCCUUCUGUGUUUCACAUAGCUCAUUUUGUAUGUGUGUGCUAGAAUGAAUGUGUUUGUGGGUCUCUGUGUUUGACUUUGUUCCCUCAUGUUCCUUUUAUUUUUUCCACCCCACCUGACCACCUUGUCCUGCAGCAGAGUGACAUAGCAAUAAUGAGUGGUGCUUCUGUUCUAGACGGCUCUAUUAGCUUUGGACCCUCUGGGCUUCUCUGAGUUUCAUCCUGUUGGGAGAAUAUUUUGAAAUAAAAGAAAAAGUUGAUGUCA